UUAGCAAGUUUUGUAAAUUGGUGUACUAUGCACACAGAUCUGAUUUUUUUGCAUGCAUAAAUGAAGUAAAAUGAUGCAUGCCAAAAAUUGCAAGAGGCUAGAUUAUUUUCUCAAUACAGCCUUUGUAACUGAUUUUAAAAUUGCAAAAAAAUGCAGUAAAGUCCAUUCAAGAGACUGUGCCUGGGUCACCGAGUAAGUUGGAGGAUGUUUGUCUAUUCCUGUGAGAUCUAAAUUUUGGCUUUUUCACACCAGAUGCUGGCAGUCUACACUCACGAAGUGCCAUUGAUGACUUCAUAGAGGAACCUCCCACUUCGAUGACUGCAUGUGCAGCAAAAGAAUCUGAUGACCUGCCUAGUCCAAGUAGGCUUUUUUACUUGUGUGCUUCUAUUGUAGGAAACUACUGAAUUUCCAUGUUUCACAAAUUUGCAACAUCUUUUUUCAGGGAAAUGUUUUUCAUAUUUAGAAGAUGGCUCUAUCCCUUCACAUUGACAUCCCGUAUAAUCAUGUGAUUUUGGGACAUGAAACCCAUGAUAUUAUUAUAAGCCGUGUGAAACAAACUGCCUGCCGAACAGCUCAGAGGUGCCUCCACAAUAACGAUGUGCAGCUACUUGGCAUGUUGCCAAUGACAGUGGUGCAAAACAGCAGCAGUUGUUGUUUCAUCUUCAAAAGGGCAUCUGCCUGACGCCUAUUCAGGCAAAAAGAAUUCUGUCUCACAAGAAGGCAAGGCUGGUGGUGAAGGAAACGG